rnacentral:rRNA from 1 species
GCUGGCGGCGUGCUUAACACAUGCAAGUCGAGUGCGCGCCUGUAGCAAUACAGGUGGCGCACGGCGCACGGGUGCGUAACACGUGGGUAAUCUGCCCUCUGAUGGGGAAUAACUCGCCGAAAGGCGAGCUAAUUCCGCAUAAUAUUCCGAAAAGUUCGCUUUUUGGACUGAAAGGCGUAAGUCGUCGGAGGAGGAGCCCGCGCACGAUUAGCUAGUUGGUAGGGUAAUGGCCUACCAAGGCUUUGAUCGUUAGCUGGUCUGAGAGGAUGGCCAGCCACACUGGAACUGAGACACGGUCCAGACUCCUACGGGAGGCAGCAGUGGGGAAUCUUGCACAAUGGGCGAAAGCCUGAUGCAGCGACGCCGCGUGGGGGAUGAAGCUUCUCGGAGUGUAAACCCCUUUCGAUCCGGACGAAUGCCCGCAAGGGAGUGACGGUACGGAUAUGAGAAGCCCCGGCUAACUACGUGCCAGCAGCCGCGGUAAUACGUAGGGGGCCAGCGUUGUUCGGAAUUACUGGGUGUAAAGGGUUCGUAGGCGGUGUGGCAAGUUGGGAGUGAAAUCUCUGGGCUCAACCCAGAGACGGCUUCCAAAACUGCCGUGCUUGAGUGUGAGAGAGGCUCGUGGAAUUGCA